AGGAGGGCCGAAACCCACCCCGCGGAGGAGGGAAAAGGAGGAAGGGAGGAAGAGGAGGGCGUAGGCUCCUGCCAAUCUGGACGGUGCUGGCGGCAGCUCUCUUGAGGAGGGUAGAGCUGCCAGACCCUUCGGUCUCCUGCGUCCUGUGUGACCCUCGCUUCUAGAAGCGUGGUUAUCCCUGCUGCUUCAGCUGCCCACAGAGCUGCUGCAAGAGACAGGAUGAAAAAAACACCCACGGUGACCUCACGCAUGUGCCUUGCUGGAAAGCAAGCAGAGGGAAAACUGAAGUUGGCUUGAAACAGGGUGGUUGGUAAUCAAAUGAAAUGCCCAUGACACUUGCUGCUUGGCAGGUGUGGGAAAGCCCUCCUGAUGUCUGCUCUAAGAGAGAGUAGGGACAGAGUGCGAAGAGUGCCAUCAGCAUGGCUGCGGCUACCAAGAGAUGUUGAAUGGAUCACAGCAGCCUAAGGAGGCCUAAGAACGGUGUGAGAAUUAGGAAUGACAUGUAGAUGCUCCUGCGUGUCAUCAGGGAUGGACAGUUUGCAGAAUGGUUUUGUCCUUAGACUACAUUCAUAUAAAGUGAUCCACAUGCCCCCAAAUGCUUCUGGUACCAGUGGGCACCUGCAGGAAGUAUCCCUCUAAAACUGUGACACUAGAACUUAGGGACUCUUACAAACAGGGCAAAUGAUGAAAAAUAGCGAUAAAUGAGAACUGAUACCA